GAAAGAAUAUCGGAGACGGGUGGGCAUGCGGCGCAUUAGCUAGUUGGCGGGGUAACGGCCCACCAAGGCGACGAUGCGUAGGGGUUCUGAGAGGAAGGUCCCCCACACUGGUACUGAGACACGGACCAGACUCCUACGGGAGGCAGCAGUGAGGAAUAUUGGUCAAUGGGCGAGAGCCUGAACCAGCCAAGUCGCGUGAGGGAGUACUGCCCUAUGGGUUGUAAACCUCUUUUGUCGGGGAGCAAAAGCCGGACGUGUCCGGCUGUGAGAGUACCCGAAGAAAAAGCAUCGGCUAACUCCGUGCCAGCAGCCGCGGUAAUACGGAGGAUGCGAGCGUUAUCCGGAUUUAUUGGGUUUAAAGGGUGCGCAGGCGGAUUUUUAAGUCAGCGGUCAAAUCGUGGGGCUCAACCCCAUCCAGCCGUUGAAACUGGGGAUCUAGAGUGUGCGAGAGGUAUGCGGAAUGCGUGGUGUAGCGGUGAAAUGCAUAGAUAUCACGCAGAACCCCGAUUGCGAAGGCAGCAUACCGGUGCACAACUGACGCUCAGGCACGAAAGCGUGGGUAUCGAACAGGAUUAGAUACCCUGGUAGUCCACGCAGUAAACGAUGAAUGCUACCUGUUUGGCCAGAUUGAAGGCUGA
rnacentral:rRNA from 1 species